GACGAACGCUGGCGGCGUGCCUAAUACAUGCAAGUCGAACGAACCGCGACUAAGUGCUUGCACUAAGUCAAGGUGAGUGGCGAACGGGUGAGUAACACGUGGGUAACCUACCUCAUAGUGGGGGAUAACAGUCGGAAACGACUGCUAAUACCGCAUAGGACAUAGGAUCACAUGAUCCAGUGAGGAAAGGUGGCGCAAGCUAUCGCUAAGAGAUGGACCCGCGGUGCAUUAGCUAGUUGGUAGGGUAAAGGCCUACCAAGGCGAUGAUGCAUAGCCGACCUGAGAGGGUGAUCGGCCACAUUGGGACUGAGACGCGGCCCAAACUCCUACGGGAGGCAGCAGUAGGGAAUCUUCCGCAAUGGACGCAAGUCUGACGGAGCAACGCCGCGUGAGUGAAGAAGGUCUUCGGAUCGUAAAGCUCUGUUGUUAGAGAAGAACAGCGCAUAGAGUAACUGCUAUGCGUGUGACGGUAUCUAACCAGAAAGCCACGGCUAACUACGUG
rnacentral:rRNA from 1 species